GGAGGAAAGUAGGGGAUCGAAAGACCUUAUGCUUUUGGAGCGGCCGAUGUCUGAUUAGCUAGUUGGUAAGGUAAUGGCUUACCAAGGCAACGAUCAGUAGUUGGUCUGAGAGGACGACCAGCCACACUGGGACUGAGACACGGCCCAGACUCCUACGGGAGGCAGCAGUGGGGAAUUUUGGACAAUGGGCGCAAGCCUGAUCCAGCAAUGCCGCGUGAGUGAAGAAGGCCUUCGGGUUGUAAAGCUCUUUCAGUUGAGAAGAAAAGAUUGUGACUAAUAAUUGCAAUUCAUGACGGUAUCAACAGAAGAAGCACCGGCUAACUACGUGCCAGCAGCCGCGGUAAUACGUAGGGUGCGAGCGUUAAUCGGAAUUACUGGGCGUAAAGGGUGCGCAGGCGGUUCUGUAAGUCAGAUGUGAAAUCCCCGGGCUUAACCUGGGAACUGCGUUUGAAACUACAAAGCUAG
rnacentral:rRNA from 1 species